rnacentral:lncRNA from 10 species
UUCUCCUUUGCUCUCUUUAUAGAAAUGAUUGUAUCAAUUUAAGAAUGUUAUUCUUCCACACUUAAGAAUUAGUUUCACAAGUUCCUCCAAAGAUUGUGUAAAGUAGUGAUUCUCAGUCUACUUGAAAAUAAGUUAUUCGGGCAGCUUUUAAAAGAUAAGGAUGCUUCGAUCAUCUUCCUGAUCAAUUCAAUCAGAAUUGAGUCUACAUUAACUUUAUACACAGUUGACCCUUGAACAGCACAACAGGACUGCAGUUGUGCACUUCUAUGUAGAUUCUGUUCAACAAAGCACCGAUGGAAAAUACAGCAUUUACAAGAUGAGAAACCCGAGUACACAGAGGAUCAAUCUUUGGUAUAACACGAGUUCCACAAGGCUAACUGUGGCAUUUGGGUAUGUAAGGAUUUUGUUAUACGCAAGGGACCUGACGCCAAUCCUGUACAUAUACCAAGGGAUGACUGUAUAAUCUAUUGUUUAUUACCUAAUCCCUUCACUUUUGAUACUCAGCGAGGUUAAGAAUGUCUUGUCCAAAACCACUUAGUUGAUAAUAAAGAGGCUAAAAACCCAAAUCCCUUACCCAACUACUAGAGCAGUACUUUUUCCUCUUUCUCAACCAUUCAGAGCUCACAUUGAAUGAUUUCAUAUUAUCCUGACUACUUGACAGUUCAGUUCUUCCUCUUCUAGGCAUUUGACCAAUUCCACCCAAUCCUGUUCCAUUUUUGUUUGAUGUGGGUGGAACAGGUGUAGGGGUAUCAAUGGCAGUUUACAGAACUCUCUCCCUUGAGAACAUUUUAAUGAUAUUAUAAAAAUUAAUUUACUUUAAAGUAUGAGCACAGUUAGCCCCAUGACAUUAAACUUUUUUAUUAAAAUAAAGUGUUUUAUUCAAGUCAAUUAAUUUUUGUAGCAUCAUUCAAAUUUUAUCAAGAAGUUAAUUCUUUAAAUAGUCAUCAGUACAACAUAUGGUGUAGUAAACAUUGGUUUAUUAAAAUAAAAUCUUUCAUUCAAUCCAAAUGGCCAAUUUCAUUAUGUUUAUCAUUAAUUAUUUGUGUUUCAGCAUUUGAGAAGUUGAAGAAUUAUGUAUGUAAAUAAGUUUUAUGUAGAAAAUAAUUUUAUGGAAAAUAAUUUUCACUUCAGGCACAUUAAGUCAAUAACUCAGUUACAAGUUUGCCUAUUGUAUUUCACACAAUCAUAUAUUUUAUUUAACAGUCAUUAUAGAAAAGGUAUUUUUCAGAGGGUGUAUUCAUAUUAGGGUGAAAUGUAUCUAGUUGUCAUUUUAUAGCAAGAUUAGCAAUUUCAACAAUAUUGAAUCUAACGUACACAUUAGUUGUAUAUCAUUCUCAAUGAUUUGAAUGUGCUAUGGUUCUAUAUACAUGCAUUUCUACUUGAACUUUCUCCAGUAAACAUAGAUUAUUAAUUCAACAAAUAUAAAUUGCAAUCAAUGGAAUGAAGCUUUGAAAAUGGCAAAUUGCCAGAUGAGAGUUUUUGACAGAACCAUGUAAGUUUUAAGAGAUAAAAAAUCAUUUAUAAAAAUAAUACAUAAUAUUCACCCUCCCUGGAUAACAUAGCUUUGCUUUUUUUAAGUAAAUGUAAGAAAAAAAUUAUUAAAAUAUUUUAAGCAAAAGUAAGGAUAUAAGUAAAAGAAGACUGGGUCAAAAAGAAGAAGUUGUGGGUAGAAGAGAAAAAUGAAAAAAAUAUAUACUUUACCAAAAAGUUCAGAAUUAUCACUGAGCAUAUUUAUGCCUAAGUAUUACAUAUAAUCUAUGAUUAGAAUCAGGAAACAAUGUUAUGUCAGACUUCCUGUAUUCACAAAAAUAUACCAAUUGGAAGAGUGACCAUGAAGACAUUCUUUUCUAAUGAUAGCUAAAACUACGGCUGAAAUUGACAAAUAAUCUUUAAAGACAGAAGCUUUUUUAUUAAAUGUUUCAUCUCAACAUUGGUAAUGUUAUUUUCCACUGAAAGAAUGUUCAUUUGUUCAGUGCCGCUACAAAAUAUCAUGAAAAUUAAAGCUAUGAUGUAAUAUUUUGAGUUUUUUAGCACCCCUAAAUUCAGUUUGGAGAGUACAUGUGUAUCCAAAAAUGCUGUUCCCAUUUUUAAAUUUGUGUUUUUCUAACAUUCCUAUAGUUGUUUUGGUAGUGACAUUGAUUGGAAUUAUCUCCAAACUGUUUUUUGUUGUUAUUUCUAGCAAUAAUAAAGAUAUGAUUUG